rnacentral:rRNA from 1 species
AUUGAACGCUGGCGGCAGGCUUAACACAUGCAAGUCGAGCGGAGAUGAGGUGCUCGCACCUUAUCUUAGCGGCGGACGGGUGAGUAAUGCUUAGGAAUCUGCCUAUUAGUGGGGGACAACAUUCCGAAAGGAAUGCUAAUACCGCAUACGCCCUACGGGGGAAAGCAGGGGAUCUUCGGACCUUGCGCUAAUAGAUGAGCCUAAGUCGGAUUAGCUAGUUGGUGGGGUAAAGGCCUACCAAGGCGACGAUCUGUAGCGGGUCUGAGAGGAUGAGCCUGCACAGUGGGACUGAGACACGGCCCAAACUCCUACGGGAGGCAGCAGUGGGGAAGAUUGGACAAUGGGCGGAAGCCUGAUCCAGCCAGGCCGCGUGUGUGAAGAAGGCCUUUUGGUUGUAAAGCACUUUAAGCGAGGAGGAGGCUACCUGGAUUAAUACUCUAGGAUAGUGGACGUUACUCGCAGAAUAAGCACCGGCUAACUCUGUGCCAGCAGCCGCCGUAAUAC